GGUUCCACAGUGUAGUGGUCAGCAAGUAUGCUUCACAUGCAGAAGGUCCUGGAUUCAUGCCCCAGUGGAGCCA
rnacentral:tRNA from 1 species